rnacentral:rRNA from 1 species
AUUGAACGCUGGCGGCAGGCUUAACACAUGCAAGUCGAGCGGGGUGAUGGUGCUUGCACUAUCACUUAGCGGCGGACGGGUGAGUAAUGCUUAGGAAUCUGCCUAUUAGUGGGGGACAACAUCUCGAAAGGGAUGCUAAUACCGCAUACGUCCUACGGGAGAAAGCAGGGGAUCACUUGUGACCUUGCGCUAAUAGAUGAGCCUAAGUCGGAUUAGCUAGUUGGUGGGGUAAAGGCCUACCAAGGCGACGAUCUGUAGCGGGUCUGAGAGGAUGAUCCGCCAAACUGGGACUGAGACACGGCCCAGACGCCUACGGGGGGCAGCAGUGGGGAAUAUUGGACAAUGGGGGGAACCCUGAUCCAGCCAUGCCGCGUGUGUGAAGAAGGCCUUAUGGUUGUAAAGCACUUUAAGCGAGGAGGAGGCUCUUUUGGUUAAUACCCAAGAUGAGUGGACGUUACUCGCAGAAUAAGCACCGGCUAACUCUGUGCCAGCCGCCGCCGUAA